GAUAUAUUCAUCUAUAAAUUUGGUUAAACUUAAAGGGGUUUAACUUCUAAAAAAGUAACACACCUUAUAUUUUUAACAAUGAGUCAAAAAUGUAUGAAAAGAAUCAAGCAAAGCGCGCCCAACCCAUCAAGUAAGUUUUACAAUGCAAAGUGACUAUAGUUUAAAUGUUGGAUGGAAAGAGAAAAGAAGACCCAACGCAUAGGAAAGAGAGAUCAUAUCAACUGUUUUGAC
rnacentral:lncRNA from 1 species